GAUAACAUGGGGACCAAAUGGGAAAUAUUUCCCAUACCCCCAAAACACAGCGUCUUUGCGUGGACUGAAAUGACGCCAUAUCAGAAUGCAAGGCCAAAAUUAAAAAAUAAAAGUGAUCGAUAUAGAAACGUGCAAGGGCAGAAAGGCCCUUUUGCGUAAUAUACCCAAAUGCUGGAAGACCUGCGGAUCCUCCCCGGAUCGGGUCACCGCGCGGAUCGGAGGCUUCCGAACAAUGUCGUUUCUUUCCAACGCACAUAGACCCCCAUUAACCAGACCAGCAAACCAUUCUUUCCAUUUUUCAAAACAAAUGUUUAAAGAAAACAAAAGAAAAAGAAAGGAAAAAAAAAAGAUAAACCCUAGGCCCCUCUCAUGCGCCGCUCGACUGUUCAUCACCCCCUUUCGGAGGCUCUCUGAACCUUGCU
rnacentral:lncRNA from 1 species